CCGCCUCCCCAAACUGUCUACCCUUUUCUUCCUCCCCCACCAUGAGGAUGACGUCGACGACAAGCUAGCUGGAGGAGUUGGCAGCGUGGAAGCUUCAGGAGUACUUGCGAAUGGGUGCGGUCCCCACGCCUCUCUCUCCUUGGUAAAGCGGCGGGGGGAAGCGGUGCGCGGCGCACGGCGGGCAGCACGGGAAGGUGGAGGCGGCCGUGCUCCGCGGCGUGAUGGCGUGCUUGCGACCGCCGCGGGAUGCCGGCGGCACGGGAGGCGGUGGUUGUGUGGCAGCGCGGGCGGAGCCGGCCGUGCCCCGCGGCGUGCUGGCGGCGGCGCGGGAUGGCGACGCCUCAUACAGGCGGGCGGCCGCGGAGCGGGCUCUCUGGUGGGCGGCGGCAAGGUCGGGGCGGGGCAGAAGCGGUCCGGCGGUGGCCACGACGGGGCGGAGAGGCAGGGCCCAGCGGAGCAAAAUGCAGAUCGGUGAGAGACGCGUGCCGGCGCUGGCGGAGGCCCUUGCGAGGCCGGGACGGAGACGACCUUGACGGCCCUCCAUGGCGACGGAGGGCCUCGACGACAGUGCAUCAGGGCACGGCCACCUCCUCCGAUUACAAAAAAAGGUAGAACCUUUUAUUCGAUUUCGCAGCACCCGAAUGUGCAUGGUGGGGAAGAGGGCCAACAUGACGAGCAGCGCCAGAAUCUCGCGGAGCGAUUCCGGCGACCAACGCCCUCGAGCCAGCUAGGGUUUGGCCGUCCAGCAGAUUCACCGGUAGGGAAAGCAAUCACCAUAUUGCUGUUCGUGGACUCCAUCGCUACCAGAGAUUUGUAGAUGGAUUCAUCUUGAUCUGGGUGCAGCACUUUCAUGGACCUGACAGGUUUUACUUUUAAGGUUUGGAUUUGGGUUGCGGGAGAUUCCUACGCUGGUGGUGACAAUGGCCAUCAUUGGUGCAGGAGGAUUCAGUGGUUGUCCCUGCUGUUGGUGAAUCUUCCUCUGUUUUAUUAUUUUGCCACAAAUGCUAAUGUAAUAAGAAUUGCAUUACUUAUACUAGAAAAUUGUGGAUAGAAAAUGCUUUGCAGAAAUCUGUGGUUUGGUUUAUGCAUGUGAGGAUGCUAUAAACCUUUAUCCAUCCUUUGAUUUUGAUCUUGAAUGUGAAUAUGCAUUUCCUAAUAGCUUCUAUAUUUGUGUUGCUUGAUAAGGAUUGGUUUAGUCGUUCCUAUUUAGAACUCUAGGUUCAGUGGUAUAUCUUAGUGAUAUUAUGCCUGGCUGUAGGUCAGUGGUGAUUUUUUUGCGUUAUAACAAUAGGGAGGGUUAUAAUUCAUUGACAUGAUUCACAUUCAAUUUUUUUCUCAACAGGUUUGCAGUCUAACAUGUCUUUUAAUUUAUUCAGUUUCUCAGUGCUUUUCAGACCUGUGUGAACAUGGUGGUUGAUCAUCUACAAUAUGACAUUACCAUAUUAUUGCCAUGAUCAUUUAUUCAUAUUUAGGAUAAUCUGAAUUGGAACGAAAUGUAAACUGUACUUGCAAUGUAUUUGAGUGUGCUUCAGUAAUAUAGCAUCUGACAAUAAGUGCUAAAAUUCCGCAGCAAAAAACUGUAGAUGCACGUAGGAUGAAAGUAAGUCUCCUACCUAGAAGAGCUAGCUGUAGAUGCACGUAGGAUGAAAGUAAGUCUCCUACCUAGAAGAGCUAGCUGUAGAUGCACGGAGUUAUGAACUCCUAUUCUCAGAGCUGGAGGCUCAAACCAUCUUUGUUAGUAUAUAUUAUGUAGCAGAUUAGCAUGACAAGCUUUUGUUUGGCAUUCUUUUGUAGUUGGUUAGCAUGAUAAGAUUGGAACUCUCCUACAGUUUGCCUAAACAAAUUUUGCUAUUAUUGUGACGCAUGUGGUAUGCAUUCCGUGUACGUUCCUAAAUAGAUAUUUAUAUCAAGUUUUUUUUAACAUCAACUCAGGAACUGGAUAGAUAGUUUUCAGUCUGUAUGAUUGUUACAUUUAUACAUGGAGCACGGUCGUAUGGUUGUAAUGGUAUGUUCGCUUCUGCAUCAGGGCAGUUUUUGCGUGGCAGCAUAGAUUUAGCACUUUUACUUAGUAAAAUCCGUACUCUAUUUCAUCCAUCAACUACCCCUUAUUUAUUUCCACUUGAUAUAAUAUAGUUAAUACAUCAUGCCUUUUCUGGCCAACGAGAGCCCUGUCCAGAAAAUAAAAAAAAUGACAAGAUGAGCACUCAGUCGAGCCUCAGGUUUGACAACAACAAAAUUACGCUUAGUCAAGCCUUAGGAUGCGCCAUACAUAAGACCUAGGUGUAAAAUUAUAAAUCAGGUAUGUACUUCUGUUGUCCUAUUGUAGUUUAGUACACAAUGGAUUUACCAAGUCAUAAUUAUGAAUUUCGCCUUAAUUCUCAUGUAUUCAGUGUUCACAUGAUCUGAACAUGUUCUCUUGCAUCCAUUGCUUUAGCAGAUAAAGGUGUAAAAUACAUAGAUUCUCUCAAAAACUGCAUGUAUUCUGAAAUAGCUGACAUCGAGUUUCGGCAUAAAUGUACUAUGUCUCAUCUCUUCAAGAACCAUGAAUGAUUAUUCUUACCUCCUACCGAAGAUCCAUAUGCACUGACAUUGUAAUUUAUGUAACCAAGUGGCAACUGUGCUAUUGUUACUUUAUGGCGAGAACAUGCAGAAACCUUUCAUGCGGUUGCUCUUCAUUAAUCCUCUUAUGAUGACAGCAUUGCAAUACUGUUUGCAGGCAUGAGUGUUGCCCAUUUGUCAGGUAUGCCACCUCUGGGAGUGUCUGGUUUUGAUAACCCUGUCGCCCUGUUGGUAUUGUCACCUGAUGUUUGCUGAAGUUCUUCAACACAGUUUGAUAGUGCUAACAUUCUAUCAGGUGAUUAUUGUUAUUCUUAUUGUAUGUUGCUUCUGGAUAUAUUUAUAUAUGGAAAAUAUUAUUUAUGAAAGCUAGGUACAUUAAAAUUCAGGUAUUCAGAGAAACUGAUAGACCACACUUGCUAAAAACAGGGCAGAGUUACCUAAAUGUCAAAUGAGAAACAUGAAACUGUGGACUUAUUUGGAUAGUAGAGAAGCAGUUCAUUAUUUCUUAUGCUCCAGUUUCCUUCUCCAGGAGCUUCAUAGUUAUGAAUUGUCAACUAAGCUGACCAUGCAUCAUGUCAUAAGAAACAUAUUUGUAAAUAAGUAGCAAACCAUGAAAAAUAAACCUAUCACAUGAAUAUUCAGAUAAAUACAAGCAUUGAGAUAUCAUUUCACUUAGCUUCUCGGUCUUAAAAUAGAAAUUUAUGAGCUGCAUUUUACGUUUAAAUAACACAACCUUAACUUUAUUUUUUCAACGAUUUCGAAGUUAUAGUUCAGUAAGCCAGAUUUCCUCAUUGUCUAAGCUUAUUCAUACAUACUGCUUCAGCAUAAAAAAAAAUCGAUGCAAGUCUAGCUAUAUUGUACAUGAAUACAACAUGCUUAGAUCAAACCUAUUUUAGCACUCAUCAAGACUCUAGCCAGAAAAUAUAUUGUUUUGACUGAAAACCUUUCUAUUUUGGAGGACAUGGAAGUGACGUAUUUUCAUUUCUGAUACAUAAAUAUGUGUAUAUUAUAGGACGUCCUGUGGAUCUUCUAUCUACAGUUAGUGCUGAUAAAUAUUUUGCAGAUUUUGCAUUUUUUUCCAGUUGCUGAAUGCAGUAAGCAGUUUCCUGCUUUUAGAUUUUUCAAGAGAGAAGGUAUGCAUCUAAUAUAUGUGCGACGACUCACAAGGGGAACAAUUUCUCUUGGUAACACACCGAUUUUUCCCUCUCAAUCUGCACCUCCUUUUCAGAUAUUUUUCCAGUCAAAUAAAAAUAUCCAAAGAGGCCAUUCAACAUGUAUAGCGGGCUCAUAAAAUAAACGGAUGGAUGGCAUGUAAUCUUGGCUUGAUGAGAUGAAUUUUUGCAUGUAAAGAAAAGUAUGUAAAACUACAUCGUAACUCAUAAGCUGAAGAAUGAACAAGUAGGAAUUACUAACAGGAUACUAUGAUAUGUCACCGUUAGGACUUUCCCGGUGGUGACGAGGAAGAGGUUCAAGUUCAAGAGGAUGACUGAAUAUAUAACUGAGAGGAUACAUUUUUGCCUAUUCAAAUUUUUCUUUGGGUGUAUUGGCGAUGAUGACAAUGUUGUCUUCAAUAAGUCAUGAAUAAGUUUGAUAGCAUUGUAGGUGUUUUUUUCCGUUGUAUACAAGUUGCGCACGCUUUAUUCAUUGGAACAAGUGUACGUAAGUAAGUAGUUAGGCCAAAAGUCCAAAGGGUUCCUUUGUGCUUAUAUCGCAUAGUACCGCAAGAAACAUUUAUGAUAACGGGCGCGGCGUGUCGCCGCGCCAACGCUUCCUAGUUGUAUGCAUACGUGGUAUUAAAUGUGUGUCGCAAUCUUGUGUGCAUAUGUGGUAUUAUCAAAGAUAUGAAAAAACUACUUUCUAACCUUAAAUAUGUGUCGCACAUUUUAGUAAAAUGUUAUUUGUAACACAUAUAUCAACUGUUAUACAUGUUUUUGAAACUCUAGGGUAUUUGAGACAAUUCAUCUGUUCACAGCCAAACAGCUAGCCAAGUUGCCAAACAGUGAAAGUCGGAACAGCAGCUUUCCCUGCACAGCAGCUUUGACUGGAAAGCAGCUUUCCCUAUACAGCCAGCCAGCCACAGCCCAAACAAACAGGUCCUUAUUGAUGCUUGUCUAGAAAGUACUAUUCAUGAAAAGUCUUUGCUAUAUGAUUCAGUUGUUUAGUCAUUGUCUUUACCAUUGCUUCGAAUCACUUCAUUCAUCUCAUAUGCUUUACAAUAGUAUUGAUCAAGAUUAUGAUAGUAGCAUGUCACUUCAGAAAUUAUCCUUGUUAUCGUUUACCUACUCGAGGGCGAGUAGGAACUAAGCUUGGGGAUGCUUGAUACGUCUCAAACGUAUCUAUAAUUUCUUAUGUUCCAUGCUAGUUUUAUGACAAUACUCACAUGUUUUAUAUACACUUUAUAUCAUUUUGAUGCAUUUUCCGGUACUAACCUAUUAACAAGAUGCUGAAGCGCCAGUUCCUGUUUUCUGGUGUUUUUGGUUUCAGAAAUCUUACACAGGAAAUAUUCUCGGAAUUGGACGAAACAAAAGGCCACGUUCUUAUUUUCCAGGGGCUUCACGGAGUCCGAAGGAGAGACCAAGGGGGGCCACGAGGAGCCCACACCAUAGGGGGGUGCGGGCCACCCCUUGGUCGCGCCACCAGGUGGGGACCCCACCUCGGGACUCCACCGACAUCGCCCCUUCGCCUAUAUAUGCUCCCAGAUGUGAAAACCCUAAAACAACCGACGAUAUUCCACGAAGAGUUCCGUAGCCGCCGCCAUCGCGAAGACAAGUUUCGAGGGACAGAAUCUCUGUUCCGGCACACCGCCGGGACGUGGAAUUGCCCUCAGAGUCAUCUCCAUCGACACCAUCGCCAUCUUCAUUGUCGUUGCUGACUCCCAUGAUGAGGAGGGAGUAGUUCUCCCCCGAGGCCGAGGGCUCUACCGGUAGCUAUGUGGUUCAUCUCUCUCUCUCCCAUGGUGUGAUCUUUAUGUGAUCAUGAGCUUUGUAUCACUAUUAAUCUAUGUGCUACUCUAGUGAUGUUAUUAAAGUAGUCUAUUCCUCCUCCAUGAUGUAAAGUUGACAGUGUGUGCAUCAUGUAGUACUUGGCGUAGGUUAUGAUUGUAAUCUCUUGUAGAUUAUGAAGUUAACUAUUACUAUGAUAGUAUUGAUGUGAUCUAUUCCCCUUUCAUA